UUCGCCCUUAGAGUUUGAUCCUGGCUCAGGACGAACGCUGGCGGCGUGCUUAAUACAUGCAAGUCGAACGAUGAAAUUCUGACGGAGACUUCGGUCAACUGAGGGAUGGAUUAGUGGCGGACGGGUGAGUAACGCGUGAGUAACCUGCCUUUCAGAGUGGAAUAACAUUUGGAAACGAAUGGUAAUACCGCAUAACGUCACGGGAUCGCAUGAUUCUGUGACCAAAGGAGCAAUCCGCUGAAAGAUGGACUCGCGUCCGAUUAGCUAGUUGGAGAGGUAACGGCUCCCCAAGGCGACGAUCGGUAGCCGGACUGAGAGGUUGAACGGCCACAUUGGGACUGAGACACGGUCCAAACUCCUACGGGAGGCAGCAGUGGGGAAUAUUGCACAAUGGGCGAAAGCCUGAUGCAGCAACGCCGCGUGAAGGAUGAAGGCCUUCGGGUCGUAAACUUCUGUCCUUGGGGAAGAAGAACUGACGGUACCCUUGGAGGAAGCCCCGGCUAACUACGUGCCAGCAGCCGCGGUAAUACGUAGGGGGCAAGCGUUAUCCGGAAUUAUUGGGCGUAAAGCGUGCGUAGGUGGUUCUUUAAGCGCAGGGUUUAAGGCAAUGGCCCAACCAUUGUUCGCCCUGCGAACUGGAGGACUUGAGUGCAGGAGAGGAAAGCGGAAUUCCUAGUGUAGCGGUGAAACGCGUAGAUAUUAGGAGGAACACCAGUGGCGAAGGCGGCUUGCUGGACGAUAACUGACGCUGAGGCGCGAAAGCGUGGGGAGCAAACAGGAUUAGAUACCCUGGUAGUCCACGCUGUAAACGAUGAAUACUAGGUGUGGGAGGACUGACCCCUUCCGUGCCGCAGUUAACACAAUAAGUAUUCCACCUGGGGAGUACGACCGCAAGGUUGAAACUCAAAGGAAUUGACGGGGGCCCGCACAAGCAGUGGAUUAUGUGGUUUAAUUCGACGCAACGCGAAGAACCUCACCAGGGUUUGACAUCCAACUAACGAAGUAGAGAUACAUUAGGUGCCCUUCGGGGAAAGUUGAGACAGGUGGUGCAUGGUUGUCGUCAGCUCGUGUCGUGAGAUGUUGGGUUAAGUCCCGCAACGAGCGCAACCCCUAUUGUUAGUUGCUACGCAAGAGCACUCUAGCGAGACUGCCGUUGACAAAACGGAGGAAGGCGGGGACGACGUCAAAUCAUCAUGCCCCUUAUAUCCUGGGCUACACACGUAAUACAAUGGUGGUUAACAGAGGGAAGCAAUACAGCGAUGUGGAGCAAAUCCCUAAAAGCCAUCUCAGUUCGGAUUGCAGGCUGCAACUCGCCUGCAUGAAGCUGGAAUUGCUAGUAAUCGCGGAUCAGCAUGCCGCGGUGAAUACGUUCCCGGGCCUUGCACUCACCGCCCGUCA
rnacentral:rRNA from 1 species